UGACAAACGUUAAUCAUGUAGCAUAAAGAUAAAAUUCAUAAAAAUUAAGAUAUAUAUAAAACCAUCUGCGAGUGCAUUUGAAGUUCAUUGCAUUCUUGUUCAACAUGAGGCCAUUUCCAGUCAGUUUAGCAAUUUUGAUUCACCUGCCAAUCGUAAUCGGCACUCUCAGUUCAAAAAGAUUGACCAGCAAUUUCAACAAAAACGAUCCCGUAUUGUUGCUUGAGUUUCAAGAUUUAAAAGCAAAACAUAAUCCGCUGAGUUUUGGAAUGGGAUAUCCAGACUUCAAUCCUCCUAAAAUUUUACAAAAAGCUCUGGCAAGAGCUGCAGUAAGCGACGAUUACGAAUUGAACCAAUAUGCCUCGAGCAGGGGCCACCCAAGGCUGCUGAAAGCCGUGGCUGCUUUCUUUUCCAAACUUUUAAAUCGAACAUUGAAUCCAGACGAAAACGUUGUAAUAGCUGUUGGAGCGCAAGAAGCUAUACAUGGAAUUUUACAAGCACACACAACUACAGGCGACGAAUGGAUUGUAUUUUCACCCUAUUUUUCCUAUUUCGAUCCCAUUAUCAAAGCAGCUUAUGGAGUACCAAAAUACAUACCCUUAGUGUCGAGCAAGACUACGGGGAAUAUCACGUCGUCCGAUUUCAAAUUCGACAAAAAGGACUUAGCGAGUUUGUUCAACCAUAAGACUAAAGGUAUACUAGUAAACACGCCGCACAAUCCGACGGGAAAGGUGUUCGACUAUGAAGAACUCGCGUACAUCGCCAACUUAGCUAAAAAGUGGGAUUCCAUCGUUAUCCUCGACGAGGUCUAUCAGUUUUUGAACUACGGAAACCAACAACACCUGAGACUAGCGACUUUCCCGGGAAUGUUCGAGCGUACGAUUACAGUUGGGUCCGGCGGCAAAAUGUUCAGUGCCACGGGUUACAGAAUUGGUUGGGCAUACGGACCCAAGGAUCUCAUUAAUAACGUAAAACUAGUCAAUGGUUUCGCUGUCAUGAGUGCGCCAACGCCAAUCCAGGAAGCUGUCGCAGUCGCCAUCGAAGAGGAAGACGACAAUUACGGCAAGCCCGAAUCGUAUAUCGAACAACUGAGGAGAGAGUCGGAGAAAAAGAGAAAUUUCAUGUACAAGAUUUUAAGCGACGCCGGAAUGACGCCGGUUUUCGCAGAAAGCGGUUAUUUCAUCAUUGCAAGAUGAUAAACAAGAAAAUUAGCGAAUGAUUCGUGCAUGCGCGACUCAUGGCCGUAGCCGUAAGCUACGAUGUGUUUGUGCGGCUCAUUGAGGAGGAUGUAGCCGAAGCAUUAGAUGACAUAAUUGCUGAUCGAGCUGAAGAGCUACGCUUGAUUGGAGCUCGUAAUUCAACGGACGAGUGUUUUCUUGGAGAGCGCUCUUUAGCAGCUCUUACGCACUACUUCAAUCCUCGCAAUUCCGGCUAUCUUAGUUUGUUAUUAUGGUUCCUCCUCGGACUGGGAAUCGGAUUGAUUGUUCAUCAUGCUAAACUCUUACCAAUUUUUCUUAUUAUAUGCUUCAUUCUAAUAGUAGUUCUGGUCUCAUUUCCAUAGUAAUUAUAUUUAUGAAGAUUAAAUUUGUUAAUAGAUUUUAAGAGUGAGUAAAGUU